rnacentral:rRNA from 1 species
UACGGAGGGCGCAAGCGUUGCUCGGAAUCACUGGGCGUAAAGCGCGUGUAGGCGGCUUUGCAAGUCGGGUGUGAAAUCCCGAGGCUCAACCUCGGAACUACACUCGAUACUGCUUGGCUCGAGUCCCGGAGAGGGUGGCGGAAUUCCCGGUGUAGGGGUGAAAUCCGUAGAUAUCGGGAGGAACACCAGUGGCGAAGGCGGCCACCUGGACGGUGACUGACGCUGAGACGCGAAAGCGUGGGGAGCAAACAGG